UGGGGAAUUUUGGACAAUGGGCGAAAGCCUGAUCCAGCAAUGCCGCGUGUGUGAAGAAGGCCUUCGGGUUGUAAAGCACUUUUGUCCGGAAAGAAAUCCUUGGCUCUAAUACAGUCGGGGGAUGACGGUACCGGAAGAAUAAGCACCGGCUAACUACGUGCCAGCAGCCGCGGUAAUACGUAGGGUGCAAGCGUUAAUCGGAAUUACUGGGCGUAAAGCGUGCGCAGGCGGUUUGCUAAGACCGAUGUGAAAUCCCGGGCUCACUGGAACUGCAUUGGUGACUGGCAGGCUAGAGUAUGGCAGAGGGGGGUGAGAAUUCCACGUGUAGCAGUGAAAUGCGUAGAGAUGUGGAGGAAUACCGAUGGCGAAGGCAGCCCCCUGGGCCAAGUACUGACGCUCAUGCACGAAAGCGUGGGGAGCAAAC
rnacentral:rRNA from 1 species